AUUGAACGCUGGCGGCAGGCCUAACACAUGCAAGUCGAGCGGAUCGGCGGACGGGUGAGUAUUACUUAUGAAUCUGCCAGGUAGUGGUGGAUAACGUUCGGUAACGGAAACUAAUCCUAAAUCCUCUCGGAUGCGCAUGGGCCGGAUUAGCUUGUUCGUGGGGUAAAGGCAUACCAAGGCGACGAUCCGUAGCUGGUCUGAGAGGAUGAUCAGUCACACUGGAACUGAGACACGGUCCAGACUCCUACGGGAGGCAGCAGUGGGGAAUAGUGGACAAUGGGCGCAAGCCUGAUGCAGCCAUGCCGCGUGUGUGAAGAAGGUCUUCGGAUUGUAAAGCACUUUAAGUGAGGAGGCGUUACCAACAGAAGAAGCACCGGCUAACUCCGUGCCAGCCGCCGCGGUAAUUC
rnacentral:rRNA from 1 species